rnacentral:rRNA from 1 species
UACGAACGCUGGCGGCGUGCUUAACACAUGCAAGUCGAACGGAAAGGCCCUGCUUUUGUGGGGUGCUCGAGUGGCGAACGGGUGAGUAACACGUGAGUAACCUGCCCUUGACUUUGGGAUAACUUCAGGAAACUGGGGCUAAUACCGGAUAGGAGCUCCUGCUCCAUGGGGGGGGUGGGAAAGUUUCGGCGGUUGGGGAUGGACUCGCGGCUUACCGGCUUGUUGGUGGGGUAGUGGCUUACCAAGGCUUUGACGGGUAGCCGGCCUGAGAGGGUGACCGGCCACAUUGGGACUGAGAUACGGCCCAGACUCCUACGGGAGGCAGCAGUGGGGAAUAUUGCACAAUGGGCGGAAGCCUGAUGCAGCAACGCCGCGUGCGGGAUGACGGCCUUCGGGUUGUAAACCGCUUUCGCCUGUGACGAAGCGUGAGUGACGGUAAUGGGUAAAGAAGCACCGGCUAACUACGUG